rnacentral:rRNA from 1 species
UGGCUCAUUAUAUAAGUUAUCGUUUAUUUGAUAGUACCUUACUACUUGGAUAACCGUGGUAAUUCUAGAGCUAAUACAUGCUGAAAAUCCCGACUUCGGAAGGGAUGUAUUUAUUAGAUUAAAAACCAAUGCCCUCUGGGCUCCUUGGUGAUUCAUAAUAACUUUUCGAAUCGCACGGCCUUGCGCCGGCGAUGGUUCAUUCAAAUUUCUUCCCUAUCAACUUUCGAUGUUUGGGUAUUGGCCAAACAUGGUUGCAACGGGUAACGGAGGGUUAGGGCUCGACCCCGGAGAAGGAGCCUGAGAAACGGCUACUACAUCCAAGGAAGGCAGCAGGCGCGCAAAUUACCCAAUCCCGAUUCGGGGAGGUAGUGACAAUAAAUACUGAUACAGGGCUCUUUUGGGUCUUGUAAUUGGAAUGAGUACAAUUUAAAUCUCUUAACGAGGAACAAUUGGAGGGCAAGUCUGGUGCCAGCAGCCGCGGUAAUUCCAGCUCCAAUAGCGUAUAUUAAAGUUGUUGUGGUUAAAAAGCUCGUAGUUGAACCUUGGGCCUGGCUGGCCGGUCCGCCUCACCGCGUGCACUGGUCCGGCCGGGUCUUUCCCUCUGUGGAACCUCAUGCCCUUCACUGGGUGUGGCGGGGAAACAGGACUUUUACUUUGAAAAAAUUAGAGUGCUCCAGGCAGGCCUAUGCUCGAAUACAUUAGCAUGGAAUAAUACAAUAGGACGUGUGGUUCUAUUUUGUUGGUUUCUAGGACCGCCGUAAUGAUUAAUAGGGACAGUCGGGGGCAUCAGUAUUCAAUUGUCAGAGGUGAAAUUCUUGGAUUUAUUGAAGACUAACUACUGCGAAAGCAUUUGCCAAGGAUGUUUUCAUUAAUCAGGAACGAAAGUUAGGGGAUCGAAGACGAUCAGAUACCGUCGUAGUCUUAACCAUAANCUAUGCCGACUAGGGAUCGGACGAUGUUAUUUUUUNGACGCGUUCGGCACCUUACGAGAAAUCAAAGUGCUUGG